rnacentral:rRNA from 1 species
GCAGCCGCGGUAAUACGAAGGGGGCUAGCGUUGCUCGGAAUCACUGGGCGUAAAGGGUGCGUAGGCGGGUCUUUAAGUCAGGGGUGAAAUCCUGGAGCUCAACUCCAGAACUGCCUUUGAUACUGAAGAUCUUGAGUUCGGGAGAGGUGAGUGGAACUGCGAGUGUAGAGGUGAAAUUCGUAGAUAUUCGCAAGAACACCAGUGGCGAAGGCGGCUCACUGGCCCGAUACUGACGCUGAGGCACGAAAGCGUGGGGAGCAAACA